rnacentral:rRNA from 1 species
UACGGAGGGUGCAAGCGUUAUCCGGAUUCACUGGGUUUAAAGGGUGCGUAGGUGGGUCCGUAAGUCCGUGGUGAAAUCUCCGAGCUUAACUUGGAAACUGCCAUGGAUACUAUAGGUCUUGAAUACUGUGGAGGUCAGCGGAAUAUGUCAUGUAGCGGUGAAAUGCUUAGAUAUGACAUAGAACACCAAUUGCGAAGGCAGCUGGCUACACAAAUAUUGACACUGAUGCACGAAAGCGUGGGGAUCAAACAGG